rnacentral:lncRNA from 10 species
AAUGCUGGGAUUUGAGUUUUCCGGAUGACAAUCCCCUAAAUUAAAUGCCUUGUGAUUCUUGCCCCCUGCCAGUCAGCUCUCCAAAGAAAGGGCACUAAGCAUUGCACAUCUGCCAUAUCUGUGUUCUUAUAGCUUCACUAUUCCAGGGAAUAGGGUGAGAAAAGAGCCCACCCUGGCACUCACCACUAAUUUUACUCCAGAAAUGGAACACAAAGUAGCAUCAACAGCAGAACUAACUUAAACCUAAGAAUCAACUGACAAGAGAUUGAGCUGAUUAUUCAUCACC